UACGGAGGAUGCAAGCGUUAUCCGGAUUUAUUGGGUUUAAAGGGUGCGCAGGCGGUCUUAUAAGUCAGUGGUGAAAUCUCUCGGCUCAACCGAGAAACUGCCAUUGAUACUGUUGGACUAGAGUACAGACGAGGUAGGCGGAAUGUAGCAUGUAGCGGUGAAAUGCUUAGAUAUGCUACAGAACACCGAUCGCGAAGGCAGCUUACCAGGCUGUUACUGACGCUAAUGCACGAAAGCGUGGGGAGCGAACAGGAUUAGAUACCCUGGUAGUCCACGCCGUAAACGAUGAUCACUCGAUGUUGGCGAUAGACAGUCAGCGUCCAAGCGAAAGUAUUAAGUGAUCCACCUGGGGAGUACGAUCGCAAGGUUGAAACUCAAAGGAAUUGACGGGGGCCCGCACAAGCGGAGGAGCAUGUGGUUUAAUUCGAUGAUACGCGAGGAACCUUACCUAGACUUAAAUGUAGAUUGCAUAGAGUAGAAAUAUUCUUUUCCUUA
rnacentral:rRNA from 1 species